GAUGAACGCUGGCGGCGUGCCUAAUACAUGCAAGUCGAGCGAAGCGGGGACGGGUGAGUAACACGUGGACAACCCCCCAUAAGACUGGGAUAACUUCCGGAAACCGGAGCUAAAACGGAAACUGAUAGCUGGAUCCGCUCUGCAUUAGCUAGUUGGUCCGGUAACGGCUUACAAAGGCAAUGAUGCAUAGCCGACCUGAGAGGGUGAUCGGCCACACUGGAACUGAGACACGGUCCAGACUCCUACGGGAGGCAGCAGUAGGGAAUCUUCCGCAAUGGGCGAAAGCCUGACGGAGCAAUGCCGCGUGAGUGAUGAAGGUCUUCGGAUCGUAAAGCUCUGUUAUUAGGGAAGCGGUACCUAAUCAGAAAGCCCCGGCUAACUACGUGCCAGCAGCCGCGGUAAUAC
rnacentral:rRNA from 1 species